GACGAACGCUGGCGGCGUGCUUAACACAUGCAAGUCGAACGGAAAGGCCCUGCUUUUGUGGCGUGCUCGAGUGGCGAACGGGUGAGUAACACGUGAGUAACCUGUCCCUGACUUUGGGAUAACUUCAGGAAACUGGGGCUAAUACCGGAUAGGAGCUCUUGCUGCAUGGUGGGGGUUGGUAAGUUUCGGCGGUUGGGGAUGGACUCGCGGCUUAUCAGCUUGUUGGUGGGGUAGUGGCUUACCAAGGGUUUGACGGGUAGCCGGCCUGAGAGGGGGACCGGCCACCUUGGGACUACGGUAGGGCCCAGUCGCCAACGGGAGGCAGCGGUGGGAAAUAUUGCGCAAUGGGGGGAAGCCAGUUGCGGCAGCGCCGGGUGCGGAAAAACGGCUUUCGGGUUGAAAACCGCUUUGGCAUGUAACAAGGCGUGAGUGACGGUAAUGGGUAAAGAAGCACCGGCUAACUACGUG
rnacentral:rRNA from 1 species